rnacentral:rRNA from 1 species
GACGAACGCUGGCGGCGUGCCUAACACAUGCAAGUCGAACGGAACUGUUUUGAAAGAUUUCUUCGGAAUGAAUUUGAUUUAGUUUAGUGGCGGACGGGUGAGUAACGCGUGAGUAACCUGCCUUCAAGAGGGGAAUAACAUUCUGAAAAGAAUGCUAAUACCGCAUGACAUAUCGGAACCACAUGGUUUUGAUAUCAAAGAUUUUAUCGCUUGAAGAUGGACUCGCGUCCGAUUAGUUAGUUGGUGAGGUAACGGCUCACCAAGACCGCGAUCGGUAGCCGGACUGAGAGGUUGAACGGCCACAUUGGGACUGAGACACGGACCAGACUCCUACGGGAGGCAGCAGUGGGGGAUAUUGCGCAAUGGGGGCAACCCUGACGCAGCAACGGCGCGUGAAGGAUGAAGGUUUUCGGAUUGUAAACUUCUUUUAUUAAGGACGAAAAAUGACGGUACUUAAUGAAUAAGCUCCGGCUAACUACGUG